GUACACAAAAAUGCACAUAUUGUGAGCUCGAUGAGUAGGGCGGGACACGUGGUAUCCUGUCUGAAUAUGGGGGGACCAUCCUCCAAGGCUAAAUACUCCUGACUGACCGAUAGUGAACCAGUACCGUGAGGGAAAGGCGAAAAGAACCCCGGCGAGGGGAGUGAAAAAGAACCUGAAACCGUGUACGUACAAGCAGUGGGAGCCUCUUAAUGGGGUGACUGCGUACCUUUUGUAUAAUGGGUCAGCGACUUAUAUUCUGUAGCAAGGUUAACCGAAUAGGGGAGCCGAAGGGAAACCGAGUCUUAACUGGGCGUUAAGUUGCAGGGUAUAGACCCGAAACCCGGUGAUCUAGCCAUGGGCAGGUUGAAGGUUGGGUAACACUAACUGGAGGACCGAACCGACUAAUGUUGAAAAAUUAGCGGAUGACUUGUGGCUGGGGGUGAAAGGCCAAUCAAACCGGGAGAUAGCUGGUUCUCCCCGAAAGCUAUUUAGGUAGCGCCUCGUGAAUUCAUCUCCGGGGGUAGAGCACUGUUUCGGCAAGGGGGUCAUCCCGACUUACCAACCCGAUGCAAACUGCGAAUACCGGAGAAUGUUAUCACGGGAGACACACGGCGGGUGCUAACGUCCGUCGUGAAGAGGGAAACAACCCAGACCGCCAGCUAAGGUCCCAAAGUCAUGGUUAAGUGGGAAACGAUGUGGGAAGGCCCAGACAGCCAGGAUGUUGGCUUAGAAGCAGCCAUCAUUUAAAGAAAGCGUAAUAGCUCACUGGUCGAGUCGGCCUGCGCGGAAGAUGUAACGGGGCUAAACCAUGCACCGAAGCUGCGGCAGCGACACUAUGUGUUGUUGGGUAGGGGAGCGUUCUGUAAGCCUGUGAAGGUGUGCUGUGAGGCAUGCUGGAGGUAUCAGAAGUGCGAAUGCUGACAUAAGUAACGAUAAAGCGGGUGAAAAGCCCGCUCGCCGGAAGACCAAGGGUUCCUGUCCAACGUUAAUCGGGGCAGGGUGAGUCGACCCCUAAGGCGAGGCCGAAAGGCGUAGUCGAUGGGAAACAGGUUAAUAUUCCUGUACUUGGUGUUACUGCGAAGGGGGGACGGAGAAGGCUAUGUUGGCCGGGCGACGGUUGUCCCGGUUUAAGCGUGUAGGCUGGUUUUCCAGGCAAAUCCGGAAAACCAAGGCUGAGGCGUGAUGACGAGGCACUACGGUGCUGAAGUGACAAAUGCCCUGCUUCCAGGAAAAGCCUCUAAGCAUCAGGUAACAUCAAAUCGUACCCCAAACCGACACAGGUGGUCAGGUAGAGAAUACCAAGGCGCUUGAGAGAACUCGGGUGAAGGAACUAGGCAAAAUGGUGCCGUAACUUCGGGAGAAGGCACGCUGAUAUGUAGGUGAAGCGACUUGCUCGUGGAGCUGAAAUCAGUCGAAGAUACCAGCUGGCUGCAACUGUUUAUUAAAAACACAGCACUGUGCAAACACGAAAGUGGACGUAUACGGUGUGACGCCUGCCCGGUGCCGGAAGGUUAAUUGAUGGGGUUAGCGGUAACGCGAAGCUCUUGAUCGAAGCCCCGGUAAACGGCGGCCGUAACUAUAACGGUCCUAAGGUAGCGAAAUUCCUUGUCGGGUAAGUUCCGACCUGCACGAAUGGCGUAAUGAUGGCCAGGCUGUCUCCACCCGAGACUCAGUGAAAUUGAACUCGCUGUGAAGAUGCAGUGUACCCGCGGCAAGACGGAAAGACCCCGUGAACCUUUACUAUAGCUUGACACUGAACAUUGAGCCUUGAUGUGUAGGAUAGGUGGGAGGCUUUGAAGUGUGGACGCCAGUCUGCAUGGAGCCGACCUUGAAAUACCACCCUU
rnacentral:rRNA from 1 species